rnacentral:miRNA from 1 species
UGAGUCGCCAACAAUCGGUGCC